GCUAACUACUCCGAGUGUUACAUACUUGCCAGCAGGGAGUUGCUUGAAACAUAGGGAAAAUGGCGAAGAGAAACACUGUUGGCCUAUUACUUGUCCUUGCAAUUAUGUUCUCCUCCAAUGUCUUGGAGGGCGUUGCACACCAGAGCCAAGUUGUAUUCUCUCGCAAAGUGAUUAAUGCAGAGCAGAAGGCAUCCUUUAGUGGGAUGAGUUCAUCCCUUGGCGGGCAUGUUUCUGGUGCGACCAAUGCAGGAGGUGUGAGCAAUAAUGCUGAAAUAGAAAAUGUUGAAACUACCACUACCAUAGAGUCCCACCGUGAUGUCUCCGUGGGAGAUUUUCACGGGAUUAACCACAAACCACCAACUUAUAACAUGCCAUAAUGAUGAACCUAAGACAAAGGACCAUGGGCACCAACUUGAUAUCCGUGGAUGAACUAAUUAUCAAGUUGGCAAUUUCUACACUAAAGAUGUAUUUCUUUAUUAUAUGUGUGUGUAACUGUUUGUGAGACUUGGAUGGUGUGUUGGAGUGUCAAGCUAUUUACUGCUGUACUAAUAUUGUAUAAGGUAGUAUUGUACAACAAUGCAGAAUAAAUCAUGCCCGUGGUCCAUGGUAAUGGCCACUAUUGACAUGUUC